rnacentral:rRNA from 1 species
GACGAACGCUGGCGGCGUGCUUAACACAUGCAAGUCGAACCGAAAGGCCCUGCUUUUGUGGGGUGCUCGAGUGGCGAACGGGUGAGUAACACGUGAGUAACCUGCCCUUGACUUUGGGAUAACUUCAGGAAACUGGGGCUAAUACCGGAUAGGAGCUCCUGCUGCAUGGUGGGGGUUGGAAAGUUUCGGCGGUUGGGGAUGGACUCGCGGCUUAUCAGCUUGUUGGUGGGGUAGUGGCUUACCAAGGCUUUGACGGGUAGCCGGCCUGAGAGGGUGACCGGCCACAUUGGGACUGAGAUACGGCCCAGACUCUUACGGGAGGCAGCAGUGGGGAAUAUUGCACAAUGGGCGGAAGCCUGAUGCAGCAACGCCGCGUGCGGGAUGACGGCCUUCGGGUUGUAAACCGCUUUCGCCUGUGACGAAGCGUGAGUGACGGUAAUGGGUAAAGAAGCACCGGCUAACUACGU